rnacentral:rRNA from 1 species
GAUGAACGCUAGCGACAGGCUUAACACAUGCAAGUCGAGGGGCAGCAAGAUUGGUAGCAAUACUAAUUGUUGGCGACCGGCGCACGGGUGAGUAACGCGUAUGCAACUUACCCACCAGAGGAGGAUAGCCCGGUGAAAGCCGGAUUAAUACUCCAUGAAACAGGGGUCCCGCAUGGGGCUAUUUGUUAAAGGUUCAUUCCGCUGGUGGAUAGGCAUGCGUUCCAUUAGGUAGUUGGUGAGGUAACGGCUCACCAAGCCAUCGAUGGAUAGGGGUUCUGAGAGGAAGGUCCCCCACACUGGUACUGAGACACGGACCAGACUCCUACGGGAGGCAGCAGUGAGGAAUAUUGGUCAAUGGACGAGAGUCUGAACCAGCCAAGUCGCGUGAAGGAUGACUGCCCUAUGGGUUGUAAACUUCUUUUAUAGGGGAAUAAAAAGAGGUACGUGUACUUUAUUGUAUGUACCCUAUGAAUAAGCAUCGGCUAACUCCGUGCCAGCCGCCGCCGUAACAC